UACGUAGGUGGCAAGCGUUAUCCGGAUUUACUGGGUGUAAAGGGCGCGUAGGCGGGUGUGCAAGUCAGAUGUGAAAUCUAUGGGCUCAACCCCUAAACUGCAUUUGAAACUGUAUAUCUUGAGUGUCGGAGAGGUUGACGGAAUUCCUAGUGUAGCGGUGAAAUGCGUAGAUAUUAGGAGGAACACCAGUGGCGAAGGCGGUCAACUGGACGAUAACUGACGCUGAGGCGCGAAAGCGUGGGGAGCAAAC
rnacentral:rRNA from 1 species